ensembl:snoRNA small nucleolar RNA, H/ACA box 30B
CUAGCACUUUCAUAGGUUCUCCCUCAGGCUAUGGGGCCAGGCUUUGGUAGCUGGUCCUGAGAGAAAACCCUUGAUUAUAUCCUUGCCCUGGGAUGGUGCCAGGGGCGGCUGUCACUCAGUGGGAUAAUU